AAUGUUUUGAAUCUGGAUGUGGCAGCUGGAGCCAGCCAUGCUGGGAGCAGGUGUUCCACAAGCUUUUCCCCACAGCUCUUCUGGCAGAGCUCUUUCUGCUCCAGCCAAAUUCUUGUCAUUUCAUUACUGGCUGUCUCCUGGACAGCCUGGCAAUUGGGCCAGCUUUCUUUUGUGUUGAUAAAGACCAAAUUGGACUAGGUGGCAACUAUUUAAUUUGUCUCAUUUCUGAAACUCCUGCAUGUGGGUAUUGUCAUGGCCCCAAGGGCAGCUGUAGGCUUUAAAUGCCCUGAGCAGCCUGCUCUGCCUCCCUUUUCCCUGUUUCUUUUCCAUUUGAGCUUACCUGCCUCCCUGGUAUGUGCCAUAGGUGUUCCAGGCUCUCUUGUAUCUAUCACAUGGCCUGUUCUCCCUGCUCAGACUCUGUGGGGUGGUGCCAGCUGGUGAGGGCAUAGCCUGUGCUGCCCUUGCCUUUGGCUCCUGCUCAUCCUCCAUGGAGCUGCUUCUGAUGCUCCUUGAGAGGUGUUACAAGGAAUCCAACAUUUUGCUGUUCUUUACAGAAAGCUCAGAAAUGCUAGAGAACUUGCACAGUCACCAAUUUGAUCCAGAGAAGUGGAAGAAACUUUCUACAGCUAGAUAACUGCAGAAGUUUAUUUCCUUUGCGAUCCCUUAGAAAUCCUGCCUUCUUACAGCGUGGUUCCUUCAAACUCGGUGUAUUUUGUGCCUGUCCAUUAAUUAUACCCUCAAGACAUUAGAAGCCUUUAAAUGUCUUAUAUGUGAGCCUCCUCAGUUUGCUCAGAAGUACUCACCUCUCUCUGAAGAUGAAUUUUUACAAAUAUAUUUUCUUCUUUAUUUGUAAACUGUUUGCUUUAACAAAGCAAAAAUUUUCAUUGCUGGGAUCAUGGGAUAUUGAUUUUCAUUUAGGAGUGGAUUGUUCAGGUUUCUUUCUAAUACUAGAAAAAUGGUUAAUCUCUGAUAAAGUUAUUUUCUUAAAUGAAUAAUUGAAAACAACACCAAAAAACCCCACAGUGUUUUGGAUAGGUAUUGUUGCUUUCAACGUUUUUGAAGACCACAGUAUCAAGAAUAUAGAUGAUAUGGAAUCCUCUGUGUCUGUAAACACUGGCAAACCACCAGUGCCUUCCAAUCUACCUUCUGGUUUAAUCAAACCUAAUCAAAUAUGGAACAAACACCAUGGGAAGAAAAAAACCAUCCCCACAGCUGACCUUCAUGCAAUUCCAUUUCAUGAUGACUUUUUAUUCUUUCAGUUCUAAGUAUGCAGUUAAUAGAAGAAGAGGUAAAGGGCAAUCAGUUUCCUGCCAGUAACUCAGGGGUCAGAAUUUCAGGUAAAUUAGAUAAUUAACAGUCCCUAAAGCAGACCCACAGUAGAAAGGGAAUUUAGGAACUAAUAAAAGACAUUUAUAAAAUUAUGCAUAGGAACUGGAGGUGCUUGGGAAAAUUCAGCAGCCUUUUAAUUAAAGGAACUAACGCUAUAGAACUCAUAAAUGACAAAGCAAGCCCAUCUUCGGGAAACAAAGUCUGAAACAGCUCCAUCUUCCAGCCUCUGAUUUCCAUGUGUGAUUGUAAAGUUUCAAUAGUAAAAUCACAAUUAAAGAUCAAGAAAGGAGUAUUUUUGUAAGAAAUAACAAUUAAUGUUGUCCACCACAGAAUCAAGGUGUGUAUUAUUGAGGUCUGUAACUUGUAGCUAGCAGGCUGUAUGCACAGGAUAAUAUCCUUCUAUAGUGUAAGCAGAGAUAAACACAUUGUAGGAUCCUAGGAAAGAAUGGCCUCAGCUUUAAGUUAUACAGUGUGGCAAGGGAUAAAUUAUGGUAAAAUACCGAUAUAUUUACUACCAGGGUGGUUUUUCGGUAUGUGGUGUUUUGGUUUUUUGGAUUUUUGUUUGUUUGGGGUUUUCUGUGGGGAGAGUGGUGAGGUUCAUUUGUUUAUUUUUCAGAAUAUAUUCCCUGUUCUUGUGAUUACAAGGGUUUACAUUGCAAGUAGUAGCUGGUAGAAAACUUGUUAAAUAAAAGUAAACUGACAGAAGACAAGGGAUGAAGGAAAAGGCAUUUGUAUGACCAUGACAAGAUAAUGAUCAAGUUCUUGGGAAAAAUGAAACAGAACAGUUCUGUUGCUUCAAUUAAAAAUGAGAGUUUACUCUCUGACUUGGUUUUUAUAGCUCAAAAAUAUGGCCACAAGUGUUGGAGUCUGAGAUGCAGAGUGUGUGCCCUUGUUUCUGAUACUUAGUUCUAAG